GCCAGAGUUAGACUGUAACAAAGGAAUCAAGAAGGGUGGAGAGUGUAUCUGCAGAAGGAAUCAGCUGAGUUUGGAGACUAUUUUGAUAUCCUGAUUCCCUCUUAAGAAAUGAUGACUCAAUGCAAAUCAAGAGGAUGACAUGACUGCUAAAAAAUGAGCUCAUUUACAAGCAACAUGACAAGAAUUCAAGCAGUCAUGGCUGUGAAGCAUUUCUGCAGAAGGAUAUGCUAUGUAAGUAUGAGGUUGUUACUAAAUCAAAAUGAAUGCCUUUGUGCAAAACUAGAAAGCACAUUACAUAUUGUUCCUGAGUAUUCCUUCCCAGUGCAUUCAAAAUAUUCUCACAUUCACAAGGUUAAACAGCACAUUAAAAAAUAGUAGGAGGCUGAUGGCUGAGCUCAAUUGGGAGUAUCUUUCUUUGGUGUUAGAAUGUUUGAAAAUUAUUUUGGGAAGACUAUGAGCAAGUUAUUUUGAACUUCUGGGGAAAAAAAAAAAUCUGAAGAAGCAUUCCCUUUGCCUAAAAGCAAAGGAGACAUUUAUUUAUGCCUUUAGCAAAUAAAAUAGUUUGCUUACUACCAGUGUUUGUGGGCUGAUAUUCAACUCAUCUUCUGGAAAUUUUAAAAAUACACAUUGAAACUGAAAAAGUAUUCUUUGAGUAAGGGUUUACCUGAAGUGCCCAGAACCAUCCAAAAUGAUGGCACAUUAUAUCUUUUUUUCUUAAAAAUUUUUGGAAUCUAAUUGAAGAUGCCUCUUAGAAUAUGUGGAAACCACACGUGCUAUCUUGCAUAUCACUAUCAUUUCAGUUCUAAUGUUAUUAGGUGUUUAGCUACAGGCAAGUAGAAUUAGGGCAUGAUGUGACAGACUGUAAUGAGUUGCUGAGAAACUACAUACUCUAUCCCCAGGAAAACACAUAUUCUCAAAAUUCUACACAAUUUCAGGAAUUUCAUAGAUGCCCCUACCCCAAAUCCCAUUCAUGAAAUCCUUAGCUUAAAAUCCUGUGCACUAGAGCAAUGUAUUUUAUAAAACCAUAUUCAGAUGCCUGUGAAGCAAUGAAUGUGCUAGGCAAUGUUAGGCGGUAGAAACAGUGAUACACGUAGUCAGACAGGGUACCUAGAAGUCAUGGAGCUUAUAGGCUAGUAGGGGAUAUGGACAUUUACCAAAUAAUCACACAAAAAGAUGCCUAAUUACAAACUCUGAUUAAGUGCUAUGGAGAGAUAUACAGUGUUGCACGUAACAACAGAAUCUAAAGAAGUUACAUUUUAGGGGGCAUAUAAACAAUGUUGUGCAGGGGAGGUAGAAGAAACACAUUAUGGUAAAGGGCUGCAAAGGAAAUAAGCCCAUAAUAAGGCCUCUUAUAGGUUUAAGCUAGGACCUGAAACUUGUAUACUUUAUAUGCUUUGAAAUGAGACAUACAUUAAAGUGGCUGAUCAAAUUAAAACAUUUUCCAGUCUUUGCCUACUAAAUUGAUAAAGAUUUUUUAAAAUUUUAAUAGAACUAAAGAGAAAAUAUUUCUAUAUACUGAUGUUAGGAGUAUGCAGUUUAGGCCAGGCAUGGAGGCUCACACCUAUAAUCCCACCCAGCACUUUGGGAGGCCAAGGUGUGUGGACACUUGAGGUCAGGAGUUCGAGACCAGCCUGACCAACAUGGUGAAACCCUGUCUCUACUAAAAAUGCAAAAUUACCUGAGUAUGGUGGUGCACACUUGUAAUCCCAACUACUUAAGGAGGCUGAGGCAGGAGAAUCACUUGAACCCGGGAGGUGGAGGCUGCAGUGAGCCAAGAUCGCGCCAUUGCAUUCCAGCUUGGGCAGAGCAAACCUCCAUCUCCAAAACCCAAAAAGUAUACAGUUUAAACCACUGACUUUAAAAAUGUACAUAAACAUGGAUGCCGGACAUGGUGAUUCAACGAUUGCACUUACAGAAACAAAUCUAAGAAAACAGUAAUGAUCUUGCCAGCUUCUGAUGAGAUUAUAAGAAAAAAAAAAGAAGAAAUAAAUUUAAAAAAAAAAUAAAAAAAGAAAAUGGUAAUAAUCCACCAGGAUGUUAAUAACAGCAUUAUUCACAAGAUGGAACAGAAACAAUGAUUUUGUCUAACAGCAGGGAGUUAAUUAAAUUAUGACAAGCCAGAUUAUAGAAUAAUAUGCACCCAUUAAAUCAGAGUACUUAAUGAUACGGAAAAAAUUCCUAUUAAGUGAAAAAAGCAUUACAAAACAGCAUAUAUUAUGAGCUCUAUUUUUAUUUUUGAAAUAUAUUUAUGCAGAGAAAUACAAAAUGUUAACAAUAUUAUCUUAAA
rnacentral:lncRNA from 1 species